UCUGAUCUGUGAUGACUCUUAAACCGAGAGGACUGUUGGAUGAAGCUUGCGGAUAUGGGACUGAGAUCAGGC